rnacentral:misc_RNA from 1 species
UGAAGCAACCCUCAAGCCCCCUGGCUUGGUGCUGGGCCUCCUUGGCUGGCGGGCUCUCCGCCGGCCGGCCCCAAACCCAGUUGGCGGCGGGAUCCGACCCCCGGGCGAAGCAAGGUCUUUUCCACCCUCGCCCGCGGGUGCUGGUCGUGCCGCCGGUGAUGCAGCAGCAGAUGAG